UGUGAGGAGAUACCAGCUUGAGGCAACGGGGGCGUUGCCGGAUUGAGUGGGGGAGAAUGUCACCCCUAAAAUUUUGCUCCCGAAAGUCCACUAAUUUUUCUGCUUGCAGGUUGUCCAAGUGAAACCCAAUUUGAGUGCUUGUGGUAUGUUGGCCGAAUGCAUGGGAGAUAGGGACGUGGGAUUAUUGCAUGGAAAUGGCCAUGGGCCAAUAUGGGCGCACUAUGA
rnacentral:misc_RNA from 1 species